AUUGAACGCUGGCGGCAGGCCUAACACAUGCAAGUCGAACGAGUGGCGGACGGGUGAUUAAUGUCUGGGAAACUUCCUGGUGGAGGGGGAUAACUACUGGAAACGGUAGCUAAUACCGCAUACCAUCAUAUGUGCCCGGAUGGGAUUAGCUAGUUGGUGGGGUAACGGCUCACCAAGGCGACGAUCCCUAGCUGGCCUGAGAGGAUGACCAGCCACACUGGGACUGAGACACGGCCCAGACUCCUACGGGAGGCAGCAGUGGGGAAUAUUGCGCAAUGGGCGAAAGCCUGAUGCAGCCAUGCCGCGUGUAUGAAGAAGGCCUUCGGGUUGUAAAGUACUGUCGGCGGGGAGGCGUUACCUGCCGAAGAAGCACCGGCUAACUCCGUGCCAGCAGCCGCGGUAAUUC
rnacentral:rRNA from 1 species